AGUCGUAACAAGGUCUCCGUAGGUGAACCUGCGGAGGGAUCAUUACACAAAUAUGAAGGCGGGCUGGAACCUCUCGGGGUUACAGCCUUGCUGAAUUAUUCACCCUUGUCUUUUGCGUACUUCUUGUUUCCUUGGUGGGUUCGCCCACCACUAGGACAAACAUAAACCUUUUGUAAUUGCAAUCAGCGUCAGUAACAAAUUAAUAAUUACAACUUUCAACAACGGAUCUCUUGGUUCUGGCAUCGAUGAAGAACGCAGCGAAAUGCGAUAAGUAGUGUGAAUUGCAGAAUUCAGUGAAUCAUCGAAUCUUUGAACGCACAUUGCGCCCUUUGGUAUUCCAAAGGGCAUGCCUGUUCGAGCGUCAUUUGUACCCUCAAGCUUUGCUUGGUGUUGGGCGUCUUGUCUCUAGCUUUGCUGGAGACUCGCCUUAAAGUAAUUGGCAGCCGGCCUACUGGUUUCGGAGCGCAGCACAAGUCGCACUCUCUAUCAGCAAAGGUCUAGCAUCCAUUAAGCCUUUUUUUUCAACUUUUGACCUCGGAUCAGGUAGGGAUACCCGCUGAACUUAAGCAUAUCAAUAAGCGGAGGAAAAGAAACCAACAGGGAUUGCCCUAGUAACGGCGAGUGAAGCGGCAACAGCUCAAAUUUGAAAUCUGGCUCUUUUAGAGUCCGAGUUGUAAUUUGCAGAGGGCGCUUUGGCUUUGGCAGCGGUCCAAGUUCCUUGGAACAGGACGUCACAGAGGGUGAGAAUCCCGU
rnacentral:rRNA from 1 species